rnacentral:rRNA from 1 species
UACGGGGGGGGCAAGCGUUGUUCGGAAUUACUGGGCGUAAAGGGCUCGUAGGUGGCCAACUAAGUCAGACGUGAAAUCCCUCGGCUUAACCGGGGAACUGCGUCUGAUACUGGAUGGCUUGAGUUUGGGAGAGGGAUGCGGAAUUCCAGGUGUAGCGGUGAAAUGGCGUAGAUAUCUGGAGGAACACCGGUGGCGAAGGCGGCGAUC